GUAAGGAAUAUUGCUCAAUGGGAGAAAUCCUGAAGCAGCAACGCCGCGUGGAGGAUGAAGGGUCUAUGACUUGUAAACUCCUGUAAAGAAGGAAAAAAUUCCCAUUAGAUGGGAGAUGAUGGUACUUCUGGAGUAAGCCCCGGCUAACUACGUGCCAGCAGCCGCGGUAAUACGUAGGGGGCAAGCGUUGUCCGGAUUUACUGGGUGUAAAGGGUGCUCAGUCGGAUUUGUAAGUCAGAGGUGAAAUCUUACAGCUUAACUGUGAAACUGCCCUUGAUACUGCAAGCCUAGAGUAUGGAAGAGAGUGAUGGAAUAUCUGGUGUAGCAGUGAAAUGCGUAGAUAUCAGAUAGAACACCGAUGGCGAAGGCAGUCACUUGGUCCAUUACUGACGCUAAAGCACGAAAGCGUGGGUAGCAAACA
rnacentral:rRNA from 1 species